rnacentral:rRNA from 1 species
UACGUAGGGUGCAAGCGUUAAUCGGAAUUACUGGGCGUAAAGCGUGCGUAGGCGGCUUUGCAAGACAGAUGUGAAAUCCCCGGGCUCAACCUGGGAACUGCAUUUGUGACUGCAUGGCUGGAGUGCGGCAGAGGGGGAUGGAAUUCCGCGUGUAGCAGUGAAAUGCGUAGAUAUGCGGAGGAACACCGAUGGCGAAGGCAAUCCCCUGGGCCUGCACUGACGCUCAUGCACGAAAGCGUGGGGAGCAAACAGG